UACGAAGGGGGCUAGCGUUGCUCGGAAUCACUGGGCGUAAAGGGUGCGUAGGCGGGUCUUUAAGUCAGGGGUGAAAUCCUGGAGCUCAACUCCAGAACUGCCUUUGAUACUGAGAUCUUGAGUCGGGAGAGUGAGUGGAACUGCGAGUGUAGAGGUGAAAUUCGUAGAUAUUCGCAAGAACACCAGUGGCGAAGGCGGCUCACUGGCCCGAUACUGACGCUGAGGCACGAAGCGUGGGAGCAAACAGGG
rnacentral:rRNA from 1 species